GAUGAACGCUGGCGGCGUGCUUAACACAUGCAAGUCGAACGAAGCACUUAAGAUUGAUUCUUCGGAUGACGUCUUUUGUGACUUAGUGGCGGACGGGUGAGUAACGCGUGGGUAACCUGCCUCACACAGGGGGAUAACAGUUAGAAAUGACUGCUAAUACCGCAUAACCCGAUAGGAUCGCAUGAUCCAGACGGAAAAGAUUUAUCGGUGUGAGAUGGACCCGCGUCUGAUUAGCUAGUUGGUGAGGUAACGGCCCACCAAGGCGACGAUCAGUAGCCGGCCUGAGAGGGUGAACGGCCACAUUGGGACUGAGACACGGCCCAAACUCCUACGGGAGGCAGCAGUGGGGAAUAUUGCACAAUGGGGGAAACCAUGAUGCAGCGACGCCGCGUGAGUGAAGAAGUAUUUCGGUAUGUAAAGCUCUAUCAGCAGGGAAGAAAAUGACGGUACCUGACUAAGAAGCCCCGGCUAACUACGUG
rnacentral:rRNA from 1 species